rnacentral:piRNA from 1 species
UGAAUGAGUUUCCUAACUACUAGUGUGUC